rnacentral:lncRNA from 1 species
UCAUAGUAACUUACUUAUAUUUCCAACAUGAAGAACAAGAUUGGGACAAAUUUAUUCGGACGAAGAAAGUAUUUGCAGCUGCAACUAGCAUCGCCGACUUGCAUGACCGUGACAUUAUUAUACAAGCCUCCAAAAGCAAGUCCUCACGGGGUUUUGGCACAACUUGUGCGUUCGGUGAGACACGACCUGGUCUAAAUCAGCGACUCCUGGCUAGUUUUUCAAUUGAAAACAAAGAACGCGCACCAGUUCACUGAUAAAGACAUGCCCUCACAUGACCCGAUAGUGAGUGAGUGAAUGAAAUUCAGACACUACGAGAAAGCCAGAUUUUAUCCACGUGAAACAGAAAACAGCGGCUUGCAUAACUUUACACAAGCCUCCAGAAUCUAAAAAAUAAAAUAAAGCACACAAGCUUCCAGAAUCUAAAGCAAAUUUCCUCACGGGGUUUUGGCACAACAUUCGGUUCCAGAAACUUCACAGAUAAGAUAAUCAUCGCCUUAGCGAAGCAGUGCACGUGAGCGUGCAGUGAAACCACCCCCCUUCCUUCCAAAUCAAGCAAUGGGUGACAGCCAGGGAUCACAACAAUCUCAGAGUACUCACAAUUUUAUUUGCCAAAUACACUAGUAGUAGUAGUAGUAGUCAGGAUGAUGAACUGCAGGCGGGACGGCCAAACCGCACGACUCAUUUAUUGGCAGCACUAGCAGUACUACAAACUACACAAAGGACGGGCGGACGAGAUUAACCGGAGCGGACGCGGAUCGGCAUGCGCCGGAGGGGGUCGGAUC